UGGGGAAUAUUGGACAAUGGGGGAAACCCUGAUCCAGCAAUGCCGCGUGAGUGAAGAAGGCCUUAGGGUUGUAAAGCUCUUUCGCCCGCGAAGAUAAUGACGGUAGCGGGAGAAGAAGCCCCGGCUAACUCCGUGCCAGCAGCCGCGGUAAUACGGAGGGGGCUAGCGUUGUUCGGAAUUACUGGGCGUAAAGCGUACGUAGGCGGAUGCGCAAGUUGGGGGUGAAAUCCCGGGGCUUAACCUCGGAAUUGCCCUCAAAACUGCACGUCUUGAGACCGAGAGAGGUAAGGGGAAUUCCUAGUGUAGAGGUGAAAUUCGUAGAUAUUAGGAAGAACACCAGUGACGAAGGCGCCUUACUGGCUCGGUACUGACGCUGAGGUACGAAAGCGUGGGGAGCAAACA
rnacentral:rRNA from 1 species